rnacentral:rRNA from 1 species
AGCCAGGCUCCUACGGGAGGCAGCAGUGAGGAAUAUUGGUCAAUGGGCGAGAGCCUGAACCAGCCAAGUCGCGUGAAGGAUGACGGCCCUACGGGUUGUAAACUUCUUUUGUCAGGGAGCAAUUGGCGCUACGUGUAGCGUUAUCGAGAGUACCUGAAGAAAAAGCAUCGGCUAACUCCGUGCCAGCAGCCGCGGUAAUACGGAGGAUGCGAGCGUUAUCCGGAUUUAUUGGGUUUAAAGGGUGCGUAGGCGGAAUGCCAAGUCAGGGGUAAAAUCGCGGGGCUCAACCUCGCUCCGCCGUUGAAACUGGCGUUCUUGAGUGGGCGAGAAGUAUGCGGAAUGCGUGGUGUAGCGGUGAAAUGCAUAGAUAUCACGCAGAACUCCGAUUGCGAAGGCAGCAUACCGGCGCCCAACUGACGCUGAAGCACGAAAGCGUGGGUAUCGAACAGGAUUAGAUACCCUCGUA